ACAAAAACAUGUCUCUUUGAUAUAAUAUAUAUGAAGAGUUUGACCUGCCCAGUGAUAGUAAAUAUUAAACGGCCGCAGUACUUUGACUGUGCGAAGGUAGCGUAAUUAUUUGCCUUAUAAUUGAAGGCUUGUAUGAAUGGUUUGACGAAAAUAGAUCUGUCUUAAUUUGAUUUUUUAGAAUUUAACUUUUAAGUGAAGAGGCUUUUAUAUUAUUGAUAGACAAGAAGACCCUGUCGAGCUUAAAUUUUAUGUAUAAAUAUUUAUUUUAAUUUUAUAUUUAAAUUUUAGUUGGGGUGACUGAGGAAUAUUAUGAGUUUCCUUAUGAAAUAAUUUUAAGGUUGAUUAAUUUUGAUCCAUUAUAUAGUGAUUAGUAGAAUUAGUUACCGCAGGGAUAACAGCAUAAUCUUUUUUGAGAGUUCAUAUCGAAAAAUUGGUUUGUGACCUCGAUGUUGGAUUAAAGUUUCCUAAAGGUGCAGAAGUUUUUAAGGGUUAGUCUGUUCGACUAUUAAAACUUUACAUGAGCUGAG
rnacentral:rRNA from 1 species